rnacentral:rRNA from 1 species
UACGUAGGCAGCGAGCGUUGUUCGGAGUUACUGGGCGUAAAGGGCGCGUAGGCGGUUCGAUAAGUCCCGUGUGAAAUCCCUCGGCUCAACUGAGGAAUGGCACGGGAAACUGACGGGCUUGAGUUCGGGAGAGGGAAGCGGAAUUCCAGGUGUAGCGGUGAAAUGCGUAGAUAUCUGGAGGAACACCGGUGGCGAAGGCGGCAUCCUGGGACCGGCAUUGACGCUGAGGAGCGAA